UACGUAGGAGACGAGCGUUGUCCGGAAUUACUGGGCGUAAAGCGCGUGUAGGCGGAUCGGCAAGUCUGCUGUGAAAGCUCCUGGCUUAACCGGGAGUAGUCGGUGGAAACUGCGGGUCUGGAGGACGGUAGAGGCUGGUGGAAUUCCCGGUGUAGUGGUGAAAUGCGUAGAGAUCGGGAGGAACACCUGUGGCGAAGGCGGCCAGCUGGGCCGGGCCUGACGCUGAGACGCGAAGGCGUGGGGAGCGAACGGG
rnacentral:rRNA from 1 species